AAAACUCUCUCUUUUCUCUCUCACACUCAAACCCCUCUCCGUCUCCCAGCAGCAGCAGCGCCAUUGAAGCCCCACCAAUGGAAGCAGCUCCAUCGCCGGCGACCCUCCACUUCCCAGGUAGGUUUCCUCUUCUUCCUUUGUUUUUUUUUCGAAAUAUACUGAUUUUGUUUAAUUCCUCCUAGUUUGAUUUGUAAAAAUUAAUUGUUCUUAGCUAAGUUAAAUCUAUGAUAAUUCUUAGUAACUAAAAUAUUUAGUUUUACCUACUAAUUUGGGUACAACAUUAGCCAUAUAUAAAUAAGAGUAUUUGUCUAUUUAGUAUUAGGGUUUUUGGUUUGAAUUACAUUAAAUUUAUGAACUUAAGGUAGAAAUUAUGAUCUUUUAGUUCUUGUAUUAAUUUAUAUUAAGUUCAAUUGUGAAAUGAAACAAUUCAUACAUUAGCGAUACCUAAAUACGAGUACUUAUCUAUGUAGUAUUAGAGUUUUUAGUUUGAAUCACAUUACAUUGAUGAACUUCAGGUAGAAAUUAUGAACUUUUAGUUUUUGUAUUUAUUUAUAUUGAACUCAAUUGUGAAAUAUUAUUCAUGUAUGUUGGGUUUUUGUGUUAAUAUUGCUCUUUAUUUGAGAUAACAAUGAAAUAUAUAUGACUAAAAUUAAUUUGACUAAAUUCAUGCUUUAAACUAUGCAUUUGUGACGAUCCGGCUAGUCGUCUCAUGAGGUACUGCUCCGUUUUCCAUAUUUCUACUUCUUUAUACUUUGUUAUCCGUAUUUUAUCGUACCAGGUUGGUCGAAUCAAGUCCGGAAUGAGAUUGGUGAAUUUUGAGACAGUUAGUCUCUUUUAAGAAGGCUUAAGUCGAAAGUCAGAUGUUGACUUAUGCGUUAGUUGGCUCGGAUGUCAGUUCUGAUGGUUUGGUUAGUUUCAGGAGGUGAGUUGUGAUAUAAGUGUGUGGUCAGAAUGAGUUUUGGAUGUGUGGAGUAGUAUUAGGCUUGAAUUGGCGAAAUUAAUAUUUUGGCAAUUUCCAGUUGAUAGGUGAGAUUUUAAUAUAGGGGUUGGAAUGAAAUUCGGAGAGUUGGAGUAGCUUUGUUGUGUCAUUUGGGAUGUGUUUGUAAAAUUUUAGGUCAUUUGGACAUGGUUUGAUUGGCUUUUUGAUCAAAAGCAUAUUUUGGAAGAUUUUAGAAACUUAGACUUGAAUCCACUGCGUUUUGGGUGAUUUGAUGUUGUUUGAGGUAUUUUGAUGAGUGGAACAAGUUUGAAUGACAGGAUAUGUUAGUGCCUUCGGUUGAGGUCCCGGGGGUCUCAGGUGAUUUUCAAGUGGUCAAUUGGACCAUUUUGGAGUUGAAAAGAUAGCAGAAAUUGCAGGUUCAGGGUUGCAGAGAAUUUUCUCUUCGCGAUCGCGAAGGGUGUAUCGCGAUCGUAUAGAAGGAAUUGAGGAGGCGACAGGUUUGGCCUUCGUGUUUGUGAAGGAUAAUCCCGCAUUCACGAAGGCAUGCGAAGCUGCGCAUCGCGUUCGCGAGAAGGCAUUCGCGAUCACGUUGAGGAAGUUAGGUCAGAGGAGUUCAAGGUCAUUCGUUCAUCGCGAUCGCGUAAGGGUGAGUGCGUUUGUGAAGGGUUACUGGUGGAAGCAUCAUGUUCGUGAUGGUUUUUACGCAUUCGCAUAGAGUUAAAAAGUGGUCAACGCGAGUUGCUGCUCACGAAAGUGAGAGCUUGACCGUGAUUACGAAGAAGGAAAUUAAGGCCUGGGCAGAAUGUUUUUAAGUUAUCUUGUCCGCGAUUUUGGGUCUAUUUUCACACAUAGCUGCUCGUUUUUGAAGAUUUUCGAAGGAGAUUAAAGAGGAUUCAAGGGGAAAUGAUUUUAGGUAACAUUUUCGGACUAAAAACUCGAUUAUUAUGUGAAUUCUACUUAGAAAAUCAUGGAAUUUAAGCUAAAAAUUGAAGAACUAUGGCUUGGAAUUUUGGACUUUAUAUUGGGAAUUGGAGGACCAUUUGGGGUCAGAUUUGAGAAAUUUUGGUAUGUAUGAACUCGUGGGGAGAUAAGGAAUCUAUUGAUGUGAAAUUUCUGAGUUUCGAGAAGUGGGACCGGGGCUUGGGUUUUGGUAAUUUCGGGAUUUUUGGUAUUUUUCGAUUGUUUUCGCUUGGGCUUCAUCCCCUUUGCAUAUUUUGACACCGUGAUUCUAAUUUUGAAUAGAUUCGACAUGAGUGGCGGCUGAUUUGAGGGGAAAAGGCGUAGAUAAGUAGUAUUUUCACUAGUUUGAGGUAAGUAACCAUUGCAAAUCUGGAACUGAGGGCACAAAACCCCAGUGACUAUUUUUCCUCACUUCACUUGCUAGAAGCAUAUACUCGGUCAUGUUUUACCUACUUAAAUGAUAUAAACUGGUUUUAUAACUCUACUUCUAGUUGUGAGAACUGUUGGGCUGAGUUCCCUAAUUUCUAUUAUUGCGCCCGAGAGGCUGUGAGGUAAUGGUUGAGAGAGAGGUUGAGAACCCGACAGUUAGGAUAUUUAUAUAUAUAUAUGUGAGUUGUGGAUCGGGCUGCACGCCGCAGCAAUACUUAUAUGGAUCGGGCUGCACACCGCAACGAUAUAUAUAUAUAUAUAUAUUGGAUCGGACUGCAUGCUGUAGCGAUAUGACGCUUGGGUUGUAGGAGCCCCUCCGGAGUCUUCACACCCCAAGUAAGCGUAGUUGACUAUAAAUAUAUAGAUUGGGCUGCAUGUCAUAGCAGUUACUAUGACUUCUAUUAAUACGAGAUAAUACUGAGCCAAUUGUUAAUAAUACGAGAUGAUAUUGAGCCAAGUGCUAAUAGUGAGUAUUGUGUGUCGAGAGUUGAGUCACAAAUGACUGAGAGGAUGCCCGAGGGGCUAUAUUCUAAGUAAUCACUUGCCCAAGUGGCCAUGUUAUGAUGUUUUCACUGUUUUCCACUCUCCUUUGAAUAAGCCUCUAUUGAAUACUUUGCUAAAUAUAUGAAUUCAAUGUUUUAAAUUGGAAAUAAUGAUUUUAUGACAGGUAAAUUUGAAGUUAUAUGUUUUUGAACUGCUCGUCACUACUCUCAGUAUUUAUUUACUUUAGUUACUUGCUGAGUUAGCAUAUUCAUAUUACUCCCUGCACCUUGUGUGCAGAUCCAGGUGCUCGAGCGGCCAAGCGAUCAUCUUCAGCUGAUUCAGUUUUUGUUGGGGAUUUUGAGGUAGCUGCAUGGUGUUCGCAACCCUGUUUUCUCCCUUCUAUCCUGUUAUUUUCCGCAUUUCUCUAGACAUUUGAUGUAGUGGGUAUUCAGACUUGUAUUUGAGGCUCUACACUGCUGACACCAGAUCAGUAUGGGCUGUAUAGUUUUAUGUCUUGUUGACUUCGACAUAUCUAUCUUGCUGUUUUAAACACUUAUUAUGAUAAUUGGUAAUUAAACCUUUUUAGCAAAUGGUUUAUUAAAUGAAAAUGGGUUAUGGUUUGAUAGUUGGUCUGGCUUGCUAUGUAAUGUGAUAGGAUCCAUCAUGACCGGUAUUUGAGGUUGUGAUAAGUUGGUAUUAAAGCCUAGGUUAUAUAGGUAUCGGGAGUCAUAAGCCGAUUUAGUAGAGUCUCGCGGAUCGGUACCGAGAUGUCUAUGUUUAACCUCGAGCGGCUGCAAAACCUUUUGGAAAAACUUCAUACUCUUGAAAUUCUUGUCGUGUGGAUUGAUGAUCCAAAUACUAAACUUCUAUUAUUCCAUUCUCUCACAGAUGGUGAGGACACGUGCUACCGAGCAGGACAGAUGACUGCCAGUACCACCAACUGGGGCCACUAGAGGCCGAGGUUACGGUCGAGGCCGUGGCAGGGGCAAAGCAGCUAGAGUAGCACCUGCAGAUCCACCAACUUCCUCAGUUCCCGAUCAGGUCCAGUAAUGGACGCUAUAGUAGCACCAGCUCAGACACCAACUGUGCUUAUUGUGAUUCCAUGUUUUCAAGAGGCUUUAGCUCAGAUCUUAUCAGUGAAUACCAGUUUGGCUCAGGGGGUCUCAGCUACUACGGCCAUAACUACUUCAUAGUC
rnacentral:lncRNA from 1 species